CACGUACAGUAGAUCCUGUUGUUUUGGUGAGAACAGAGCGGUUGUUGAAGGUUAUCGAUACACAGCAGAAACAGCAUUCAGUUGUGAUUUUUUUUAUUAAUAGGCUCAGUAGCUUUUUUGCUGCUUUUCUGAUCGAGUCGCUGAGAAAAGAGCGACUUGAUCCCCCCGACACUGAUCGUUUUGUAAAAUCAGGUCGAAAGGGAUGCCGCUGCAGAUAGACUCCGACGGACCCCAACUGUCUCUGGAUUUAAUCUCGUCGCAUUUAAUCGGGAAGAGCAGCUUCUCUAUAAACUUAAAGAGCCUCAGAACAUCUCCCGCUCGACCGAGUGUUUCUGUAAGAUACCAAAGCUCAAGUUCACGGUAUUAGUUUCGCGUUGAGGCGAAGACCGAAGAAUAAAUAUUCAAGCUAGCAGCUAGCGUUAGCUGGUAGAAAAAACAAAGCGCGGAUCGUUAAUCCUCGUGAACCGCUCUGACAAAAGAGGUCAGUUUCUAACGGCGCAGUCGACUGCUACGAGGUUAAAGCUUUUUAUCUCUGCCUGUGUGGAAGAUAAUUUGUUGGUUGCCAUGAAGCUGUUGGAAAACUCCAGCUUUGAAGCCCUCAGCUCCCGGCUGUGUGUGGAAACAGGGGAGUCCCGUAUCCUCGGCAGGAUUGAGAGCUACUCCUGCAAGAUGGCAGGAGAUGAUAAACACAUGUUUAAGCAGUUCUGCCAGGAGGGGGAGCCACAUGUCCUGGAAGCCCUUUCUCCCCCUCAGUCCACCAGCGCCACCAGCCCCUCUCAGCUGGGGAAGAGCAGCGAGGACGGUGAAAACCCUCUGAGCGACAAGGUCUGCAGGAAGACUCUGUUCUACCUCAUCACCACGCUCAACGAGUCCUUCAGGCCGGACUACGACUUCAGCGCCGCCCGGGCCCACGAGUUCAGUCGAGAGCCCAGCCUCAACUGGGUGGUGAACGCAGUGAACAGCAGCUUGUUCUCAUCGGUGGGAGAAGAGUUCAACUCUGUAGGACCCGAGCUGUGGAAUGCCAUCGACCAAGAGAUCAACCUGCAGAGCUGUGACAUCUACAGCUACAACCCAGACCUUGAUUCUGAUCCUUUUGGUGAAGAGGGGAGCCUCUGGUCCUUCAACUACUUCUUUUACAACAAAAAACUGAAGAGGAUUGUGUUCUUCACGUGUCGCUCCGUCAGGUCUGUGCCAUGUUCUUAGUGGCUACGGCAGAGGUUGCCUCGACAACGAGCUGGACAUGGAGUUGGAGGACGAAGAAGAGAUGGACGGCUUCACCGAGGAAGGGUUCCCCAGAGCUCUCUGUGUGUAGAUCCUAGAUCUGCAACGUCCAAAGAUCACCCGUACCCGUACUCCUGUUGUUCUUUGUCCUUUUUUGUUUAAAAUCCAUGGGAGUCUUGCUGCCUCAUCCAAAGGCGUUUUGUUGUUUGGGACUGAAGUAUGUUUGGUCGCUUUCAGUCCAACGGCGAACUCUGCGGCCACAAAGUGGUGGACGUUUUAGUGAAGGCGCCCCACCGCAACAAGAAGUUCCUUUUAUCACCCACAAUGUAUAAUUUUUGACCGGUGGGCUCUUCUCUACAUGUUUUGUUUUUCCCAAAGACUUUGUCAAGGGCGCUUGAGCAGAAGUGGAUUUAUGGCAGAGAAAGAUACAAAAGACUGCCAGAGAGUUUGGUUUGUUCCUAAUAGAUAGGGAAGUCCAGAUUACACCAGCACCAGUGACAACAAACAUUUAAGUCCAUCUCUGGACUGAGCUGAGUUGAUUGGAAGGCAGAGAGGCCUGAAUGGACAGCUGACUUUGUGUCUUCAAUGUCUUUUUAUGUAUGAAAGUGAUGUUACUGUGAAAUGUUUGACAUCCUAAAAACCCUUUUUAUUACUGAAAUGUUAUCUUAUGGUAGGUAUUUACUGCAAGUUCUCAUCUGUACCUGUUCUGACACUGAGGGGUUUGCAUCUAGGCUGCAGCUUGGACAACAUAUCGGCUUUUAUUAGACGUUCACUGAUAUACACUUGUAAUAUUUUGGAUUGAGUUUAUUUUAACGCUCCAUUCCUCAGUGUGUGUUCCUGCUGUUGUUUUCAUUUGUUCAUUGCCUCAUUGCAGUGCUUCUUUAACAAGUGAAUGUGUAGUAAAUUUUUAGAGUACAGGUUAGACAUUUCAAAAACUGCACGGCUACUUUUACAUUCAUUAAAAGACGGGAUGCGUUCGGUGUCCUUUUAAGACUACUGUGCCUUGUUUUGAUUGGCCAGUGGUACAGAUCCUAAUAAAUCGGUGUUUAUAUCC